GUGGGGAAUUUUGCGCAAUGGGCGAAAGCCUGACGCAGCAACGCCGCGUGAGGGACGAAGGCCUUCGGGUUGUAAACCUCUUUUAACUGGGAAGAACCUCCCGCCUGCAAAUAGUUGGCGGGACUGACGGUACCGGUAGAAUAAGCCACGGCUAACUCUGUGCCAGCAGCCGCGGUAAGACAGAGGUGGCAAGCGUUGUUCGGAUUUAUUGGGCGUAAAGAGCGCGUAGGCGGUCUUUUAAGUCGGAGGUGAAAUCCCGGGGCUUAACCCCGGAACUGCCUUCGAUACUGGAAGACUUGAGUACGGGAGAGGGUAGUGGAAUUCCCAGUGUAGAGGUGAAAUUCGUAGAUAUUGGGAAGAACACCGGUGGCGAAGGCGGCUACCUGGACCGUAACUGACGCUGAGGCGCGAAAGCGUGGGUAGCAAACAGGAUUAGAUACCCGUGUAGUCC
rnacentral:rRNA from 1 species